GAGUUUGAUCCUGGCUCAGGAUGAACGCUAGCGGCAGGCCUAAUACAUGCAAGUCGAGGGGCAGCGCGGGUAGCAAUAUUUGGAAUGUUCAGCGGCGCAAGGGUGCGUAACACGUGGGUAAUUUGCCAUGAAGUCUGGGAUAACUCGCUGAAAGGCGAGCUAAUACCGGAUGUGAAAUCUGGAGGGCAUCUUCUGGAUUUUAAAGUUGGGGACCGUAAGGCCUGACGCUUCUUGAUAAGCCCGCGGCCUAUCAGCUAGUUGGUGAGGUAACGGCUCACCAAGGCUAAGACGGGUAGCUGGUCUGAGAGGACGACCAGCCACACUGGAACUGAGACACGGUCCAGACACCUACGGGUGGCAGCAGUCGAGAAUUUUUCACAAUGGGCGAAAGCCUGAUGGAGCGAGCCGCGUGGGGGAUGGAAUGGGCUUUCGGCCCGUAAACCCCUGUCGAACGGGACGAAAGGACCUCGGAGCUAAUCAUCUGAGGAGUGAGGUACCGUUAAAGGAAGCCACGGCUAACUCU
rnacentral:rRNA from 1 species